AACGAACGCUGGCGGCGCGCCUAAUACAUGCAAGUCGAGCGAGAAAGUGUAGCAAUACACUUGUAAAGCGGCGAACGGGUGAGGAAUACAUGGGUAAUCUACCAUCGAGUGGGGAAUAACCAACCGAAAGGUUGGCUAAUACCGCGUACGCCUCCGAGUCUUCGGGUUCGGAGGGAAAGCUGCACUGUGAGUGUAGCGCUCUUUGAUGAGCUCAUGUCCUAUCAGCUUGUUGGUAGGGUAAUGGCCUACCAAGGCUUUGACGGGUAGCUGGUCUGAGAGGACGAUCAGCCACACUGGCACUGCGACACGGGCCAGACUCCUACGGGAGGCAGCAGUAAGGAAUAUUGCGCAAUGGGCGAAAGCCUGACGCAGCGACGCCGCGUGGGGGGAUGAAGGUCUUCGGAUUGUAAACCCCUUUCGGGAGGGAAGAUGGAGCGAGCAAUCGUUCGGACGGUACCUCCAGAAGCAGCCACGGCCAACUCGUACCAGCAGCC
rnacentral:rRNA from 1 species